GCGCGCGUCAUCAGGCGGCGGCGGCUCCUGCCGGGCUCGGCACCACCUCCGUCCUUGUCCCGGCGGCUCCGGCAACCUCGAGGUGAGGCCGGCCCGUCCCCGCAGAGCCGCGGGCCCGAGGUAGCUACACCCGCUCCCAGGGCUGGAGUGGUUCUUGUCCGCACCCGUGGGGUUCAAGGAGGAGCGCUGUAGCCCCGAGGCGGCUCUGCCGUGGAUGGAAGAGGCGGGGAAAGCUCGGCUCCAGCGGAGGGCAGCGAGGAUGAUUGGAAGAGUGGAACAUCUCUCGUAGGAGGAAAGGCUGGGGGAGCUGGGCCUGAUCAGCUUCGAGAAGAGACGGCUGAGAGGAGACCUCAUUCAUAAGUAUCUAAAAGAAGAGUGCCAAAAGGAUGGACCAGGCUGUACCCACAGGUGCAGAAUUAUAGGAUAGGAAGCAAUGGGCAGAAACUGAUGCACAGAAGUUCCCCCUGACUGUAAGGAAGAACUUCUUUACUGUGCCGUGGCUGCACAUCUAAUAGAUUGCCGAGAGAGGUUGAGGACUGUCCCUCCGUGGAGAUAUUCCAGAACCAUUUGGAUGUCAUCCUGUGCCAUGCGUUCUGGGGUGAUCCUUCUUGAGCAGGGAGCUGGAGACAGAUGACCCCCUGUGGUCCCAUUGAACCUCACCCAUCCUGGGGUUUUGUGAGCCCCUGCAGAGCUGAAAGGAAAAAAAUCAGGAGGCUGAUGCAAAAACACCAACUGUUCAUGCUGUUGAGAUGUCCUGUAUUCCAUUGUUAAUGGAACCAGCAUGUUCCAGCUCUAAGGUACAGGGAGCUGCAAAAACAAGGAAUAAUGCUGCUAUCUCCAGAUUUUUGGUUCCUCUUUCUGACCAUAAUGAAAGCAAAGAGUCAAAAUCUAUUCAAAGAAAGAGAGUGCUUCCAUCUUGGAUAUUGGAAAGAGAUCUUCUGUUGCAGAGGGUUUCCAAGCCUGUUACGAUGGGAGGUAGUAGAAAGAAAACAGGCCAAGGAAGGGGAGAAGGUCUUACAGAGUCAUUAAAAUCAGCAGUACAUGUACAGCAGAAAAAAAGAUUACCUGCUGAAGAAACUAUAGAGGAUUUUGAAGGUGGAGAGCAAGAUCAAGAGAAAACAAGCUGCCUUCCCAUUCCUAUUCCUUUAUUUCAGGUAACUUCUUGGCUCAGGGCAGAGCCAUGAUACUGCAAAAAAUGAGAAUGUAGUUGGCAAUGUCAUGUUGAAGGUUGGGUCUACAACAUAACUUUUUGUUCUAUGUGUUCUGAUCAUGAUUUGUUGUUUUGAAAUACCAGUCUUUUGGAUAGCUCUAUAGCAAGGAUCAUGGAAGCCUCAGAGAUUUGGUUUUCUGCAUUUCCUUCAAGGGAUCUGGGACUUGGACCUCGAAUGUCCCACGGAAGUACCAGACUGAGAACUUUGCAGCAAGAAGCAGUAUUCCGGCCUCCUGCUGAGAACAGAUUUGCCCCCGAGCACGCAGCAUGGGCUGGAUAGCUCAGUCCUUAGGGGACAGACUGCCCGAAACCUAAGCCGCUCUCAGCCGCUGGCUACCUUUAGCAAGCGUAACGUUUAUCAGCUCUUUUUGGUGAUUAUCAGCUCUUUUGAGUUCAGCUCUUUUGCUUGCUGAGGUGUUGCACAGGUCAGCCGGCAGGCAGACGUGAGAGAGGAGAAGGCCAUUCUGGUGUUCCACAGCGAUGGCUUUAUUGGGGGUCUGUGAAGGUUUCCAGCAAUGGCUUUUCUCACCAGAAUGGGCUAAAUCAGCCCAUUAUAUAGGGCAAGGGGGGAUCAGAAAUUGUCCAAUAGCAGAGGUUAAGGAGAAGUGACCUAUGGGAUUACAGAGAGAUAAGCUGGGGUCCAAAAAGGCGGGAGAGAGGGGCUUCUUUUGCUGUUUCACCGUGACUUGGCAUUUUAAGCCUCUUCCCUCCACGGGGCCCAAGCAGGCCCGGAGCCUGCUACAAAGCAGGAGCACAUGGGCCAGAGCACUGCUCCUAGGAGUGGCUGGUGCAUGCAGCUUCCUUUUCUGACAACCUUUGGGGAUAGGUGAUGGUGUGAAACUGAUGCAAUGCAACACUUAUCUUUAGGAAGGCAAGUCUUAGGUACUGGUAAUAGGGAGUAGGAGUCUGUAUGUGCGCAUUUCUUCCCGAGUCUCUUGUUUGUGAAACAUUUGGCAGCAAUACUUUUGGAAAGUAUUGCUUUAUAAAAAGAAAAGAAUGUUCUGAAAUAACAAAUAGCAGUUAUACUGUGUCAGGGAGAAAAAUAGAGAGAAUUUUGUAAAUAGGGAGAAUCAAAAUGUCAGCUUUGAUCUUCAGGAAAUGUUAUGAAACUCUACUUGUUUGCUUGCAGCAAAAGAAAUAUGCUUUGUAGUCUGCCUUUGUAUUUGCUUUUAGUUCAAGGCCCCUAAGUAGUUGUUUCUGUGUGGUGGCAAAAGCGUGUUAGAGCAAAGAUUAUAUGUUAAUUCUAGUUAUUUGACUACAUUUCUAUUAGCCUGUAGCAAACAUUUAGCAAGUAAAUGUAACUCAUAGUUUAGUUCCUUCAUUUAUGAAUUUGAAAACACUGCUUUUGAAAGAAUUAAACUUGAUGCACACCUCUUGCUCCAA